ACUCUUAGUGGUGGAUCACUUGGCUCGAAGAUCGAUGAAGAACGCAGUUAACUGCGAUAACUAGUGCGAAUUGCGGACACAUUGAGCACAAAAACUUCGAACGCACAUUGCGCCAUCGGGUCCUUUCCCGUUGGCACGUCUGGUUGAGGGUUGAAGCCUA
rnacentral:rRNA from 1 species